rnacentral:rRNA from 1 species
GCGCGAAAACUUUACAAUGCUGGCAACAGCGAUAAGGGAACCUCGAGUGCCAGGUUACAAAUCUGGCUGUCGAGAUGCCUAAAAAGCAUUUCAUAGCAAGGGCCGGGCAAGACCGGUGCCAGCCGCCGCGGUAACACCGGCGGCUCGAGUGGUAACCGUUAUUAUUGGGUCUAAAGGGUCUGUAGCCGGCCGGAUAAGUCUCUUGAGAAAUCUGGCAGCUUAACUGUCAGGCUUUCAGGGGAUACUGGCGGGCUCGAGGCCGGGAGAGGUGAGAGGUACUUCAGGGGUAGGGGUGAAAUCGUGUAAUCCUUGAAGGACCACCAGUGGCGAAGGCGUCUCACCAGAACGGACCUGACGGCAAGGGACGAAAGCUAGGGGCACGAACC